rnacentral:rRNA from 1 species
GUGCCAGCAGCCGCGGUAAUACGUAGGGUGCAAGCGUUAUCCGGAUUUACUGGGUGUAAAGGGAGCGCAGGCGGCGCGUCAAGUCUGGUGUGAAAGCCCGGGGCUCAACCCCGGGACUGCAUUGGAAACUGUCGUGCUUGAGUGUCGGAGAGGUAAGUGGAAUUCCUAGUGUAGCGGUGAAAUGCGUAUAUAUUAGGAGGAACACCAGUGGCGAAGGCGGCUUACGGGACGACAACUGACGCUGAGGCUCGAAAGCGUGGGAACACAACAGGAAUAUAUACCCUGGUACUCCACGCCGAAAACGAUGAAUACUAGGUGUGGGUGCGCACAGCGUAUCGGUGCCGAAACAAACGCAGUAUGUCUUCCUCCUGGGGAGUUUUUUUUUUAAGAAUGAACCUCAAAGGAAUUGACGGGUACCCGCACAGGGGGGGGAGCGUGUGGUUUUAAUUAAAAACAACGCGAAGAACCUUACAAGCCUUGACAUCCCUGUGAGCUCAUUAUGUAAUGUAUGUUUCCU